rnacentral:rRNA from 6 species
CCCCGGUAAACGGCGGCCGUAACUAUAACGGUCCUAAGGUAGCGAAAUUCCUUGUCGGGUAAGUUCCGACCUGCACGAAUGGCGUAAUGAUGGCCAGGCUGUCUCCACCCGAGACUCAGUGAAAUUGAACUCGCUGUGAAGAUGCAGUGUACCCGCGGCAAGACGGAAAGACCCCGUGAACCUUUACUAUAGCUUGACACUGAACAUUGAGCCUUGAUGUGUAGGAUAGGUGGGAGGCUUUGAAGUGUGGACGCCAGUCUGCAUGGAGCCGACCUUGAAAUACCACCCUUUAAUGUUUGAUGUUCUAACGUGGACCCGUAAUCCGGGUUGCGGACAGUGUCUGGUGGGUAGUUUGACUGGGGCGGUCUCCUCCUAAAGAGUAACGGAGGAGCACGAAGGUUGGCUAAUCCUGGUCGGACAUCAGGAGGUUAGUGCAAUGGCAUAAGCCAGCUUGACUGCGAGCGUGACGGCGCGAGCAGGUGCGAAAGCAGGUCAUAGUGAUCCGGUGGUUCUGAAUGGAAGGGCCAUCGCUCAACGGAUAAAAGGUACUCCGGGGAUAACAGGCUGAUACCGCCCAAGAGUUCAUAUCGACGGCGGUGUUUGGCACCUCGAUGUCGGCUCAUCACAUCCUGGGGCUGAAGUAGGUCCCAAGGGUAUGGCUGUUCGCCAUUUAAAGUGGUACGCGAGCUGGGUUUAGAACGUCGUGAGACAGUUCGGUCCCUAUCUGCCGUGGGCGCUGGAGAACUGAGGGGGGCUGCUCCUAGUACGAGAGGACCGGAGUGGACGCAUCACUGGUGUUCGGGUUGUCAUGCCAAUGGCACUGCCCGGUAGCUAAAUGCGGAAGAGAUAAGUGCUGAAAGCAUCUAAGCACGAAACUUGCCCCGAGAUGAGUUCUCCCUGAGACUUAGAGUC